rnacentral:lncRNA from 1 species
UAAGGCCGCUGUCCUGUAGUGCAGGAAGCCAACUCCCAAGGUAAAAUGUCUUUAGACAAAUAAAAAUGUCUUUAGAAGGCCUAGGCUCUCUAUGGGGUGAGACUGAAUGCUGAGGCCCGAUCUUGCCUCUGAUAGAGGAGGGCUUUCAACUGUUGGGGGCAGGGAACAGCUAAGGAGCUUGGCAGGGAGGACUCUGUAUA